rnacentral:rRNA from 1 species
UACAGAGGGGGCAAGCGUUAUUCGGAAUUAUUGGGCGUAAAGGGCGCGUAGGCGGCUUUUCAAGUGACGGGUGAAAUCCCUCGGCUUAACCGAGGAACUGCCUGUCAGACUGGAAGGCUUGAGACCGGGAGAGGUGAGUGGAAUUCCCAGUGUAGCGGUGAAAUGCGUAGAUAUUGGGGAGGAACACCAGUGGCGAAGGCGGCUCACUGGCCCGUAACUGACGCUGAGGUGCGAAAGCGUGGGGAGCAAACAGG